rnacentral:rRNA from 1 species
ACACUGUUCAUGGGUUACCGCGGCUGCUGGCACGGAGUUAGCCGGUGCUUCUUCUGUGAGUGAUGUCCUUCCUGCCGGCUAUUAACCCGCAGGCCUUCUUCCUCACUGAAGUGCUUUACAACCCGAAGGCCUUCUUCACACACGCGGCAUGGCUGGAUCAGGGUUGCCCCCAUUGUCCAAUAUUCCCCACUGCUGCCUCCCGUAGGAGUCUGGGCCGUGUCUCAGUCCCAGUGUGGCUGAUCAUCCUCUCAGACCAGCUACGGAUCGUCGCCUUGGUGAGCCGUUACCUCACCAACCAGCUAAUCCGACAUAGGCUCAUCCGAUAGCGCGAGGCCCGAAGGUCCCCCGCUUUCCCCCGUAGGGCGUAUGCGGUAUUAGCCUGGGUUUCCCCAGGUUAUCCCCCACUACCGGGCAGAUUCCUAUGCAUUACUCACCCGUCCGCCGCUCGCCACCAGGGAGCAAGCUCCCCGUGCUGCCGCUCGACUUGCAUGUGUUAGGCCUGCCGCCAGCGUUCAAU